GAUGAACGCUGGCGGCGUGCUUAACACAUGCAAGUCGAACGGAGAUAUCAUUUUCGAAGCGAUUAGUUUACUAAGAGCGGAGAUGUUGCUAUCUUAGUGGCGGACGGGUGAGUAACGCGUGGGUAACCUGCCUUACACUGGGGGAUAACACUUAGAAAUAGGUGCUAAUACCGCAUAACAGGAGAAGACGCAUGUCUUUUCCUUAAAAACUCCGGUGGUGUAAGAUGGACCCGCGUCUGAUUAGCUUGUUGGCGGGGUAACGGCCCACCAAGGCGACGAUCAGUAGCCGGCCUGAGAGGGUGAACGGCCACAUUGGGACUGAGACACGGCCCAA
rnacentral:rRNA from 1 species